rnacentral:tRNA from 1 species
GAUGAAGUGCCUGAUUAAAGGGCUACCUUGAUAGGGUAGAUUAUGCAAAUUUAAUUUGCCUUCAUUA